rnacentral:rRNA from 1 species
GAUGAACGCUAGCUACAGGCUUAACACAUGCAAGUCGAGGGGCAGCAUGAACAUAGCUUGCUAUGUUUGAUGGCGACCGGCGCACGGGUGCGUAACACGUAUCCAAUCUACCCAUGGCUCGGGGAUAGCCUUUCGAAAGAAAGAUUAAUACCCGAUGGUCUCGGUUUAAGGCAUCUUAGACUGAGUAAAGAUUUAUCGGCGAUGGAUGAGGAUGCGUCUGAUUAGGUAGAUGGCGGGGUAACGGCCACCAUGCCUACGAUCAGUAGGGGUUCUGAGAGGAAGGUCCCCCACAUUGGAACUGAGACACGGUCCAAACUCCUACGGGAGGCAGCAGUGAGGAAUAUUGGUCAAUGGACGAGAGUCUGAACCAGCCAAGUAGCGUGAAGGAUGACUGCCCUAUGGGUUGUAAACUUCUUUUGUUUGGGAAUAAAGUGAGGGACGUGUACCGAGCUGAAAGUACUGUACGAAUAAGGAUCGGGCUAACUCCGUGCCAG